rnacentral:lncRNA from 1 species
CAUGUUUUCAUUUAUUUAGACAAGGGAAGAUAGUACAUUCAACAUUUUAGUUCAUUUUAUAUCACAACAUUAAAUCGUAGUUAAGUGUCCAAGAUUCCAUACAAUUAUAGUUUAAAAGAAAUCAAGAGUACAAGGCUACAACAUAGUUCAUUGACCUAUCCAAUACCCUUACAUAACCCACACAUAUGUCUACAUAGCCUCUAGGAUACAAAAGAUGAGUUUGACAACGCCGGCAACAAGACCUCGGCUAUACCUCAAAAGUGAUCGUCCACAACACAAAGAUAUACAAUAUAGCCCCUUGAAGGAGAAAGGGGCUCACCAUGAUCUUGAGAAGAGGGAUGCUUCGCUACACACGAUCGGCACUAUCCGCUAGGGAGCCACCUAUAUUCAUUUAAAAAAAAUGUAGCGCCCCCGGUAUAAGGGACGUUAGUGCCAUCGAAUAGUACUAGUAUGUAUAACUAAACACCAUCAAAUUAGAAAGAACUUUCAUACACAAAUAAGGAAAUCACAAGUAUCACUCCAAAGCUUUAAACAAGCACAACAUUAUCAACAUGAAAGAAUUACACAACAUUCACAUCAUGUUUCCAUAGCCUUUAUUUGGGCAUUUCAUACUGUUCCACAUCGUUCACAUGACCAUCGCUAUCUUGAGUGGAGUCCGAUCUCGACCCGAUCGGCUAGGCCGUCUCCCAGAGACGUUACCAAUAUUCUAUUCACACUUUCCAGUUGCAAUCAUCAAUGCAUAACCGCUAUGUGUAUAUGUCAUGGCGCCCGAUCACGGCCCGAUAGGCUAGGCCGCCUUACCGAGGCGUUACCAUUUUCCAUUAUUCAUCUCACUCCAAUCUUUGGUUACACAUGUAUUAGUUUACCGGUAUUUGGGGCCACAAUUUUCACAUUUCACAAUUCACGUUUCACAUCGUUCCCAUUUUCAACAUUAGGUUUGUAAUUCAAGAGAGUAUGGCACACAAGAGCAAAUAAGGUUGUAGGCAUAGAUGAGACUACAUGUAAGUGGCACAACAACGCACUUCAAUUUCAAUCUAAGGUCUAAGCAUUUCUAUACAUGAUUCAUAGUCCUUGCGCCUUUUCAAAUUAUCAAGAAUAGCACGUUGAUCAAUUUGAGACACAUUUUCCACGCAUAUAAGGUUGCAACACCAAGUCAAGUGAAAUAGCAAUCAUUACAACAAUUCAAUUUAAUCUUACCGUACUCACAAUACCAACGAUGAAGCUCAAUUUCUAAAAGACGGGGUUUUAGCCAUACAUACCUCAAUAAAGAUUUUCUUAUUCCUUAUAAAAUUCCGGAACUUUUAGCACUUCGAUCUAUUGUGUAAGAAUUACAAAUUAAACCGAUAAUUAGAGAUGAGAUUGAGAUUCUAGCUUGUUGUCACACCUCCUUUUUCCUACACCCCAAGAGGGAGUGUAAGAGAGUUUUUCCAAUUAAAGUGACGAUCGAGACGAGAUUGUUUUAUUUAAAAUUCAGAGUCGCCACUUGGGAUAAUUUAUUGUGUCCCAAGUCACCAGUUCAAAUCCCGAAUCGAGAAAAAGGUUGACUCUGUUUUACAGUCCGCGAACACAGAAAUCCGGGUAAGGAAUUUUGUUAACCCGAGAGAAGGAGUUAGGCAUUCCCGAGUUCCGUGGUUUUAGCACGGUCGCUCAACUGUUAUAAUUGGCCUAUUAUCUGAUUUUAGUACAUGUUUUAACCUAUGGUGCAAUUUUGAACUUUUGAGCCGCUUUUAUUGAAUUAUUUUUUUAUUAGGAAAGAUUCAACGUCAUCUAAAACACAUCUUGAACCACGUCACAUAAAUGCACCCGCGGUCUAUGACACAUUUCAUCUAAUGUUGUUGAGACUUGGAUUUGGGUCACAUAAAUACACACCCAAGUUUAGGAAGGUAAUUUUUAAUAGCGUGCCUAAAGCAACUAUGCACUUUCAGGUUUGCGAGGGCCAUAAAAAAUUCAACUAAAUGGCAUGCCUCGAUUUCUAAGGAUUAAAAUUAAAAGGGUGAGAGCCACGCAUUUCAAGAUUUUAUUUGGCACGACACACCUCAAAUUAUUUCAAAAGGUUUUAUUCAACUUAAAGCAAACUACGGAUGUUCAUAAUUUAUUCACCUUUUUUAAAUUUCUAGAUUAUCAGUAAUAUAUCUAAGAGUUGUGAAAAUUAUUAUAGAAAGAAAUGGCAUUAUUUGAUUACUUGGAAAUGUGCAUCACAAAAAUGGAGAAGAAUGUUUUGGAUUCUUGAAUUCCAAUUAUUUUUGGCCCAGAACUUUCUAUAAUCAAAAUAAUCCUAAAAGCCAAAUCAUUUUUACUAAAACCUACACCUUAUUCUCAACCUUUGCUAACAGAUACAAUUUCUUUAACAAAUUUCAAGAUGCUUUAUCUCAAUUUUAACAAAGGAAAAAACCCUCCCUACUUCUACACAUGACUCCAAGCUCAUAAAACAAAAAUAUACGUCUAAACCAUGGAAAAUUUUAAACAGAUACAUAACUUAAACAUACCAAUAAUCACAUUUAACAAGAAUAUCAUCUAACUUUCAUUAGGCAAAUAAAAUUAUAGCAAAUAUUAUGGAACUAAGAAGCAUGUUAAAGAAGAAAAAUGGACCUUGUAUUAGCAGGAAAACUCCAAGCAAAUUUACAAAAAGUCAGUCGAUUAUCCAAAAGCAUAUAAGAGGAAAACUCGACUCAACGCCAAAAGGGACCUCAUCGGGAACCCUCACCAAUCUCGGAUCGGGGACCUCAACGAUGACGAAACCUCACUUCGGAACCAACGAAAAACUCGACUGACCGGAAACUUUGAUGACAACAGCUUUCAGAGCUUAAAAAAAGGAGUCGAAAUCUUGUGAAGCUUUGAAGAAGAAGAAAGAGUUCAGGCGGGUUUUCUGGGAUGGAGAAGCAGAGGCGACGAGUGGGUUCUGUGUUUGUUAAACAGCGAUAGCAUUUUUGUUCAUGGCUGUUGAUUUCCGUUUCUAAUGAAGAAUAAGACGGGAGUCAAAUGGGUCCUCCUCUAUUGAGAAUUGCGGCGGAUUCUUGUUAGCCAACAAAAAGGAUCUCCGUUUUUUUAGCUAUUUCUCUAGGUUCCGUUCCCUUUUCCCCUUCUGUUUAUCUUUCCCUAUCCCUAUUGUUUUUCUGUUCCCCUUGUUAGGUGUGUG